rnacentral:lncRNA from 1 species
GAAAACUUGGUUCAGUCAAUUUGUCAAACACUUGGUGUGCACUGCUCGUUCAUCCCCCAAACUUAGGUUGGUUCUAUGGAAUUCAGUUGAGAAAAGGUGAAGACUUGACAGGAACGCAACUUACUCUCAAGUGUAUGUUUCCCAAUUUCUUGAAGAAUUCAAUUUUAAUGAUGUUGAAUAUGGGAAGUAUGAGGUAGGGUUUAUAUAGGAGUGAUGUGGGAGAGAGGAAGUGGUGGACGUGAUGGCUGCAAUGUGAUGGACGUCGUGGGGUAGAAGGUGGGUUAAUGGAUUUAGGUAGUGGUGGUAGUGGUUUGGUGGCGUGGGUUAUGUUUAGG